rnacentral:rRNA from 1 species
AGAGUUUGAUCAUGGCUCAGGAUGAACGCUGGCGGCAUGCCUAAAACAUGCAAGUCGAGCGGUAAGGCCCCUUCGGGGGUACACGAGCGGCGGACGGGUGAGUAACGCGUGGGAAUCUACCCCAAACUGAGGGAUAAGCAUUGGAAACGAUGUCUAAUACCGCAUAUGGUCUUCGGAUUAAAGCUUCGGCGGUUUGGGAAGAGCCCGCGUAAGAUUAGCUAGUUGGUGAGGUAAAGGCUCACCAAGGCGACGAUCUUUAACUGGUUUUAAGAGGAUGAUCAGUCACACUGGAACUGAGACACGGUCCAGACUCCUACGGGAGGCAGCAGUUAGGAAUUUUCCACAAUGGGCGAAAGCCUGAUGGAGCAAUGCCGCGUACAGGAUGAAGGCCCUAGGGUUGUAAACUGCUUUUAUACGUGAAGAAUAUGACGGUAACGUAUGAAUAAGGAUCGGCUAACUCCGUG